UCAGCUCUCUCAGCCUUUUGGCUUUGAUCAAGUGUAGUAACUGUUCUUGCUAGUUUAAUCGCUAGUAGGUCUCCACGGAGGCUUGUUAACGAUGAGUUUUUGGAAACAGUCUAGCAGCCGCUGAACUUCGUUCAAGUUGCUGGUCAGUGUCGCCAGUAUUGCACUGUCUCUGGCUGACGCAAAGACCA
rnacentral:snRNA from 1 species